UGGGGAAUCUUGCACAAUGGGGGAAACCCUGAUGCAGCGACGCCGCGUGAGUGAUGAAGUCCUUCGGGAUGUAAAGCUCUUUCGACAGGGACGAUUAUGACGGUACCUGGAGAAGAAGCUGCGGCUAACUACGUGCCAGCAGCCGCGGUAAUACGUAGGCAGCGAACGUUGUUCGGAGUUACUGGGCGUAAAGAGUGCGUAGGCGGUUCGCUAAGUCUGGUGUGAAAUCUCCCGGCUUAACCGGGGAACUGCGUCUGAUACUGGAUGGCUUGAGGUUGGGAGAGGGAUGCGGAAUUCCAGGUGUAGCGGUGAAAUGCGUAGAUAUCUGGAGGAACACCGGUGGCGAAGGCGACAUCCUGGACCAAUUCUGACGCUGAGGAGCGAAAGCCAGGGGAGCAAACGGGAUUAGAUACCCAUGUAGUCCCUGAGCGGGCUGGCAAGGCGCAU
rnacentral:rRNA from 1 species